AUUGAACGCUGGCGGCAGGCUUAACACAUGCAAGUCGAGCGGAGUGAUGGUGCUUGCACUAUCACUUAGCGGCGGACGGGUGAGUAAUGCUUAGGAAUCUGCCUAUUAGUGGGGGACAACAUCUCGAAAGGGAUGCUAAUACCGCAUACGUCCUACGGGAGAAAGCAGGGGAUCACUUGUGACCUUGCGCUAAUAGAUGAGCCUAAGUCGGAUUAGCUAGUUGGUGGGGUAAAGGCCUACCAAGGCGACGAUCUGUAGCGGGUCUGAGAGGAUGAUCCGCCACACUGGGACUGGGACACGGCCCAGACUCCUACGGGAGGCAGCAGUGGGGAAUAUUGGACAAUGGGGGGAACCCUGAUCUAGCCACGCCGCGUGUGUGAAGAAGGCCUUAUGGUUGUAAAGCACUUUAAGCGAGGAGGAGGCUCUUUUGGUUAAUACCCAAGGUGAGUGGACGUUACUCGCAGAAUAAGCACCGGCUAACUCUGUGCCAGCAGCCGCAGUAA
rnacentral:rRNA from 1 species